rnacentral:rRNA from 1 species
UACAGGGGGGGCAAGCGUUGUUCGGAAUUACUGGGCGUAAAGGGUCUGUAGGUGGCCAACUAAGUCAGACGUGAAAUCCCUCAGCUUAACUGGGGAACUGCGUCUGAUACUGGAUGGCUUGAGUGUGGGAGAGGAACGCGGAAUUCCAGGUGUAGCGGUGAAAUGCGUAGAUAUCUGGAGGAACACCGGUGGCGAAGGCGGCGUUCUGGACUGUUACUGACACUGAGGAACGAAAGCCAGGGGAGCAAACGGG